CAAUGAAACACUGGUUCCCAUACGAUCACCAAAGUUAAGCAACAUUGAGUCUGGUCAGAAUCUCAAUGGGAGACUGCUUGGGAAUAACAGGUGCUGUAA